rnacentral:lncRNA from 1 species
GGGUAGAACGUCUACAAUCAGUCAAAAACAAAAUGUGAAGAGAAGAAUAUUAGCUGAAAUGUUGGACUUCAGACUUUCAAAAAAUGUCUAAAAGAAGAGGAUCUAUCAGUCUAAAGUAUGCACGAUUACACGCAAAGGCCGCGUUAGUUUUCUCAAUUUGUUUUACAUUGCAUUGGUAAUUUCGUUUUUUUUGGGUUUUUUUUUACAGUUGACCACGCGUAUAUGCGGUAUGGGUUUUACUCAUUGUUAAAGACCUAAAGUUGUUAAACUCUAUGUCGUUUACUCUCUAGAUAAUCUUCUUAUUAUUUUAUUU